rnacentral:rRNA from 1 species
AUACGUAGGGUGCGAGCGUUGUCCGGAAUGAUUGGGCGUAAAGGGCGCGUAGGCGGCGCGGUAAGUCUGGAGUGAAAGUCCCGCAUUCAAUGUGGGAAUUGCUUUGGAUACUGCAGUGCUAGAGUGCGGAAGAGGUAAGUGGAAUUCCCAGUGUAGCGGUGAAAUGCGUAGAGAUUGGGAGGAACACCAGUGGCGAAGGCGACUUACUGGGCCGUAACUGACGCUGAGGCGCGAAAGCGUGGGGAGCGAACAGGAUUAGAUACCCUGGUAGUCCACGCGGUAAACGAUGAAUGCUAGGUGUUGCGGGUAUCGACCCCUGCAGUGCCGGAGUAAACACAAUAAGCAUUCCGCCUGGGGAGUACGGCCGCAAGGUUGAAACUCAAAUGAAUUGACGGGG